AUCCACACCAAUGAGAGCCCACUCAUCUACAUUCUAACCACUAAAUCAUUACAUGGCCACACACUCACUCGUCACCCUACCGGUAAUCCCCAAUCAUCAUGAAUAUCGGCGACCAAAUGACCCUCAUCCCACCAACCAACUACCGUUAUCCAGCCACACACUCAUACCGUUACCGUCCUGGUAACCUCCAAUCAUCACCAAUACCGAUGACCGACUCAUCUUUUUAGGUAACGAUAAUCAAUAUCAGCGUCCCAAAAACCAAGCCAACAUUUCAACCAAUAUAAUGCAAUUUCCACAACCACACUCAAUAACUAUACAUGCAUACAUACUUAACAAACAUGCAGAUUAAUUUGAGUCAAAACAUAUCUAAUUAGCCAACAAGUCCGUAAAAUUUUUAAAUAUACAUUCACACUUAUAUUUCAAACCACACUUCCCUUAUUACUAUCUUCCCUCCUACAUUUCUAAUCUCUCUCUUCAUCACACAACAACUUAUCUUUACUAAUAACCUACCACUCUGCACCUCUCCCAAACCACUCACUACUCUCUGCCUCUUCCUUUUCUCCUGUCUAUCUCUCUCAUCACCUACACCAUUAUCACUCUAGAUAUGUCUAGUCCUAUGUAGCCCCCACUAGUUCAUCCUAAAAUCAGUCCCCUACCUUCAGUGUCGACUCUCUCUCCUUUCUGUCUCUCUUUUUUCACCUCCACUGUCUCAAACCCCCUUUAGGAACUCGCUUACAACAUCCUUCCUAACUCUCCCUCUCUUCUUGGUGAUCGACUUGGGUUCGCAUACCUACACCUCCUCCUUUUCUGCUAAAUGCCUAAAUCUCUGUGUUCAUCUCUCUUUAGAAAUCAUCUAGGAUUCCCCUUCAUGUGCCUAUUUACAUAAUCACUCGCUCUCCCCCUCUCGACUAACCUAUCUCGCACUCGUCUCCUCCUCCCCUCACGGAUUCUCCACUUCCUUUUCACUUACACUUCCAUCAAAUCUUCCUGUAACUGUACUCUCUUAUUCC
rnacentral:lncRNA from 1 species